UUUAUAUGCUAUGGUUGGGCAGCAAAAUCCAUGAGUAGUUUAUGCUUGAGACCUCUCUCUAUAUAUUUGAGUCCUAUAAAUAUAAUAUUUGGCAUCACAGGAUAUCUUGGUACCAUUACUUUUAGAUAAGAUACCGUGCAUAUAUAUAACUAAAUAUAUCUAACAUUUGACCAUCAAUGUUUUUGUGUCGAUUCAGAUUUUCAUGGCUAGGUUCGUCCUUAGUUAUAAAAUAUUAUAAUUUUACUAUGUUUUUCAUAGAUUUUAUAAUAGUAACUAAUUAUAAAACCAAUAUUUUUAGAGGACUUUUACGGUACAUUCUACUGCAAGUAUAUAUUUUGGUAUUUGUUAAAAAUCUGGAAAGACUUGUUUAGUAAUUUGAAAUUGAGACUCGAGAUUUAUUUUUAUUAGGAGUAAUUGUCCAUGGAUCUUAGUCAUCUGUUCGCGCUAGCGUUUUUUGUGAUGCCACUUCCUCUUACUAUUCAUUUGCUGCUUGCUGCCUGUCGGCUGCCCUUUCCUUGCUGCUGCCCUGCCUCCUCCUACUGCCUGCUGCCGCCGCCCGGAUGCCAUGCACCAUUGUUGCCGCCUGUAGUAGCUGCGCCCGGGUGCCGGAAGCCACGACCCUUGACUGCUCCGCAUCACCUUGCCGCCGCGCGCCUCGGGACGAGCCCCCAGCGGCCCGGCGCCCUUCUGUGUCUUCGACUAUCCACCCCCUCCCGCGCAACCGAGCCGUCGAUGGUGGAGUUGGAGAAUUUUGGGCAGACCUAGAGUUUUGGGUAAGGAAUGUUAGAAGUCACAAGAGGAGGAAAGGAGGACGGUAACUCGAUUCAAUUUCCGUUAGCGGCGGCAUGGGGGCGGCGCUUGCUCACAGUGGUUGUUGGCGCCGAGCCAGGGGCGCGGCGCAGUGGCUGUCGGCGGGGGUGGUAGUGAAAGGGACGAAGGAAGGGGAAGGAAACACAAAAAUACAAAAAUACCCCAUGCAAAAAGAUAAAAAAGACAAAUAUAUCCUAUUCAAUUUAUAAUGCAAGUUAAUUUAGGUGGAAGAUUUGAUGAAUUUACACCGUUAGAUCAAAUAUACUGCUAGUAUAUAUUUACAGUACAAUGUACCGUAAAACUUCUCUAUUUUUAGUGACCAUGUUGCCGUUCAAAACAUCACUCACUUAUGACCGGGGAGAGCAAGAUGGUAACAUCCUUGUUUUGAGAGCAUGCAUUCUAGGGAAUUAAAUUUGAAAAUACAUUAUUUAUUCAAUUUUUUCUUAUAAAUAUUCGGGAUGUAAAAUUUUUUGCGUAAAUAUACUGUCGAUCUCGCACAACCGUUGCACGAGAAUGACGUGGGAAUGACGUCGUGGACGGUAUCGCGCGGCAAAGGCGCGAGACCGCACGGUCUCGCGGGACAACAGUGCGAGACCGCGCGGUCUCGCGGAAUGGUACAGCGAGACAGAACGGUCUCGCGUAAGCAUUGAGCGAGACCGGUGCCAUGUUGAUUCAAUUAGCGACUAAUUAUCUUGAUUAGAGAUUAAUUAAUUAUUAAUUAAUCACUAAUUAGGAUAAUCAGUUACUAAUUAUUAUUAGUUAUGCUAAUUAAUUAAUUAAGCACUAAUUAAAUGGAGCCGGUGGACAGUUUCGCUGUUUGAUUCCGCGAGACCGAACGGUCUCGCUCUUCCAUUGCGCGAAACCGCGCGCUCUCGUGCCUUCGCUGCGCGAGACCGUGCGUUCUCCCACUUUCAACGCGCGAUAGCACCCAUGACGUCAUACUCACCUUGGUUUCGCGCAACGGUUGUGCAAGAUCGACGGUAUAUUUACACAAAAAAUUUUAUAUCCCGAAUAUUCAUGAGAAAAAAUUGAAUGAACAGUAUAUUUUUAAAUUUACUGCUAUGGGGAUAAAUUAAUAAAGUAGAUUCCGGAGCGUAGAGACAUGCUCCUAUAUGGGCAAAAUUUUUAUGGAGGAAACUUUGCAUGUCACCUAAAGUAAACUAAUAAAGAAAAUUUGUCAGGAGCGUAGACAUGCAUGCUCCACCUAAUUAAUUAAGCACCUGCACGUGGUAGCUUUUUUAAUAUCACAUGGUAAAUAUUUAAUUUAAAUUCAAGCAUCAUCGAAUAUAAAUUAUAUCAUACUUUAAUUUUUACUAUCUUCUAUUUAAUUAUAUAGUAAGUUCUAUAUGAGAGGCGACAGACUAGUUAAUAGGUUGUAGCGAAUUUAUAAUAUUUUGACUUCAUGAGUUACUACACAAAGCGGUUGUCUAGCAAACGCAAGAUUUUGGAGAUGGAGUAACAAAGCAUUGAUCCACUGCGAAACGUUAAAACUUCAAAAUAUCAUAAAUGAAUUAUCGAUAACAAAUUUCAAAUCAAAUAAAAACAUUUUAUCCUGCAAACUAAUCAAAUAAAAACAUUUUAUCCUGCAAACUACAACAUAGUUAGGAAAAUAUUAUAUUACACCCCUUGGAAAUUAAAAUAGGUAUGGCUUCAACACUAUCUUAUGUAUCUCCUCUUCAAUUCAUAGAGAUUUAUAAAUCCAAUUAACAACAGCCAAAAAAAAGAAGAAAACUACACAAUCAAAUUAUUUCUAACUUAUAUUUAUUAAUUAUUUAUAAAAAAUCCAGAAUUAAUUUGGGAGUACAACAAUUAAUUUCAAUUAUAUUUUUACCUGUUCAAAAUUUCUAGUACCUAUGCUACUGGGUGUUGUCUAAUAGAAUCAGGUCCAUUAGAUCCAAAGUAAUAGAUGGAUUAUACAGCAAAAAAUGAUACUAUGGAUCAUAGUCAUUUUAUAGGUUAUAUAUAUGUACAUCUCUUCCAAGGAUGGCGAGGAGUUGCACCAUUUUGCACAAUUAUGAUAAUUAGCAUUUACUUAUUCCAUAUAUAGAUGUUAAACUAGUUGUGUUUAUCAACAACUUGGUACAGUAAUAAGUAUGGGAACUAGUUGUUCUAACUUCUACUGGUUAUAAUUAUCAAGAUAUGAAAUUUCCGAUUAAUGUCUUGUACAUUACAAGUUUGUACACAAAAAUGCACGCAUAUGCAUGGCAAUUCAUUUGACUAUAAUUUGUCAUUGGCGUUUACCUAGUUCUACAAUAUAUAUGCUAUCGAGGAAUAUUGAAACUUCUACAAUAUCGCAUUGGGGAUGAUAUGUCAUUUGUUUCACUAGGCCAUUUGUUAUGUCAUACCAAUUUAUAGUACAAUUUGCACAUGUAUGAACUUUGGCAUGCGCGCCGUCCUCGCAGCAAUGCGCUAGCGGGGACGUGUACGUGUUGCACUAACGUGUCAAAUAUAUAUGUCAACAAAAUUAACUAUGAGAAGCACAUAUACAAUUUUCCAGUCAUAAAUUACAUUAUAUAUAAGACAAGGAGAAGAUAGAUAAAUCAAGAAAAUCUCAAACUAAAAAAGUUGACAAAAAUGCAUUGUUUAUUUCUGCAUGCUUUUGGCAUGUAAUAUAUUUUACACCUAUAGUACUAUACCGUGAUUGGGAUUACCUGUGACCUUGCCUAUUUGACACAACUUAAACAUUGACAAUCAUAGGGGUAUAAGGUUGCAUUCCCAAUAUAUAUAUACUUCCUCGUGGACAGUGAAUAGGAUGCCCCCGUACACAUGCAUAGCACUGGAACCAGCUCCUCUAAACUUAGUGUCUUCCGAAUUUAAGUGGCUGGUAUAUGGGCCUCAGUUUGGGGGUUCAUAUGUCAACGACCCACAACAGAGGAUAGUAAAUUAGAGGAGUUUCUUUUUUCCAUAGGACUUGUGCUGAUUUGGCAAAGAACUAAAGCGAGGAGAGAUACAUGGUGUCUCACGUAAGAAGUAGCUAUUCACAAUAACAUGACAUCAAUGAGAGAGAUUAGUAUAUGAAAUAAGCGGGCCCAAUGUUAGAUAUAUACUAUAAUAUAUGUAGUGGAAACUGUACUUAUGAUGCAAACAUGGAAACCAGAUUGUGGACCAUUGGAUCCAAAAUGUACAUCCCAGAUCUCCUUGUUACAUUUAUGAAAUGACCCCCGCACCAGCCUAUGUACAUUUUGCACAUACACCAUCUUGUUUUUUUCCCAACCCCACAUUGGUACAGCUCCUUUUGAAUCAUCAGAUCCAAUCGGGAGAGGGGGAGGGGAGAGAGGCUAAUCGAUGGAGACACCGGCCAACCAGUCGCGGGAUUGAGUGAGGAGGCGUGGCGGAGGAGGAGGCAGCGACGACGGCGACGACAACAAAUCGUUUGCUCCGCUAGCCAGAUGGAUAUUGUCUGCACCAGCGAUCCCGCGCGCUUCGCUGGGACUUGGAAUGUUUGUUGUUUUUCAGUGCUUUCAUGGCCAUGGAACUCAGAAUGUCUCCAACGUGCAAAUUCUUGGUUGUGAUCUAGAAGAUGGUUAUUUGUUUGAAACAAUGGAAGCACUUGAUGUUCCCUUAGCAUAUACACUUGUGAGCUUGUGUUGAUAGAAUUGUAAAGCUUACAUAUGUUUUAGUUCUACUAUUAUUUUGAAGAGGGAAAUGUGCAGCUGGAUGCUAACAUCGGUUGCAAGGACUGAAGUGUACGUACCAAUGAGAGAGAUUCCUAUGAUCUUCAGUGACAAGUCUAUUACCAUUAGAGUAUAUAUGCCAAUGUUAUCAUCAUAUGAGCUCACCAAGAAAUAUGGUGAGACAAUUCAACUAAGAAACUUAUGGUGAGAUAUCCGUAAUUGCUUCAUAUUCAAGGCUUCUAGAUGAUUUAUAUAGUAAGAUAUACUGGUGUGCUAAUGUAAGUCAUGUUGAGAAAGAACUUAUGCUCGGAUAUAGUUUCUUUGUUUAUUCAUAUGUAAGUAUUGCUUGAGGGCUCGGGAGAGUAUUGUCGGUUAUGGAUCGAAAGUCAACUUAGGAGAAGUUGAUAUCCGGAUGAUCAAGGAGCUCAUGCGGGCUACUAAGGCUCAUGAACAAUACACGUGCAGGUGAAGGUUUCAUAUGGUAUACAAUAGGAAUUGUGUGUAUGAAAAGCAGGGUCAAAUUUAGCAGGAAUCUAAGUUUGGGAAGUUUGAGCUUUAAAUAUGUAAAGGGAUAAGUUGGAUAUUUAUACGAAUUACUAAUCCAUGUUGGAUUUGUGGCUGUGGACAGCCAUAUGAGGGUAUAAAUAGAUGUGAGGUUUAGGUUCUCGGAAUGAGUUUAAGAGAAUAAAUUUUGGAGAGAGA